GUGAAGGUGGUGCAGAAAAAAGCAGAACAAGCAGCUGAUGGAUUGUUGGCAGACCAGAAAGCCACCACCAAACAUCGCCACUAUCAGCUGAUGGCUUGCUGUUUGGGGAUUUUUUGUGUCAUUUUGCUGUUCGGCAUCAUAGCAGUCAGUGUCUACCUUUCUUUGUUUUAUCAUGAGAAUAAUGUAAAAGAGCUGGAGCAGUUAAAAGAAAACCAAACAACUCUUCUGGAGACCAAUCACAACCUGACAGACCGCAACAACACACUCAGUUCAGAAAAUGAAAGAUUGA